rnacentral:rRNA from 1 species
UACAGAGGGGGCAAGCGUUAUUCGGAAUUAUUGGGCGUAAAGGGCGCGUAGGCGGCGAUUCAAGUGACGGGUGAAAUCCCUCGGCUUAACCGAGGAACUGCCUGUCAGACUGGAUUGCUUGGGGCCGGGAGAGGCGAGUGGAAUUCCCAGUGUAGCGGUGAAAUGCGUAGAGAUGUGGAGGAACACCAGUGGCGAAAGCGGCUCUCUGGUCUGUAACUGACGCUGAGGCGCGAAAGCGUGGGGAGCAAACAGG